rnacentral:rRNA from 1 species
CGCCUGUUUAACAAAAACAUGUCUUUUUGAAUUUAAUUUAAAGUCUAACCUGCCCACUGAAAUAUUUUAAAUGGCCGCAGUAUACUAACUGUGCAAAGGUAGCAUAAUCAUUAGUCUUUUAAUUGAAGGCUGGUAUGAAUGGUUGGACGAAAUAUUAACUGUUUCAUAAAUAUUUAUAUUAGAAUUUUAUUUUUUAGUUAAAAAGCUAAAAUUUAUUUAAAAGACGAGAAGACCCUAUAAAUCUUUAUAUUUAAAUUAUUAUAAUUUUGUAGAAUUUUUUUAUUUUAAUAAUUAAUAAUAUUUUAUUGGGGUGAUAUUAAAAUUUAAUAAACUUUUAAUUUUUUUUAUCAUUAAUUAAUGAAUAAUUGAUCCGUUAUUAACGAUUAAAAAUUUAAGUUACUUUAGGGAUAACAGCGUAAUUUUUUUGGAGAGUUCAUAUCGAUAAAAAAGAUUGCGACCUCGAUGUUGGAUUAAGAUAUAAUUUUAGGUGUAGCCGCUUAAAUUUUAAGUCUGUCCGACUUUUAAAUUCUUACGUGAUCUGAGUUCAGACCGG